CAGCACUUGACAUCCAACUAACGAAAUAGAGAUAUAUUAGGUGCCCUUCGGGGAAAGUUGAGACAGGUGGUGCAUGGUUGUCGUCAGCUCGUGUCGUGAGAUGUUGGGUUAAGUCCCGCAACGAGCGCAACCCCUGCCAUUAGUUGCUACGCAAGAGCACUCUAAUGGGACCGCUACCGACAAGGUGGAGGAAGGUGGGGAUGACGUCAAAUCAUCAUGCCCCUUAUGUGCUGGGCUACACACGUAAUACAAUGGUCGUUAACAAAGAGAAGCAAUACCGCGAGGUGGAGCAAAACUUCAAAAACGAUCUCAGUUCGGACUGCAGGCUGCAACUCGCCUGCACGAAGUUGGAAUUGCUAGUAAUCGUG
rnacentral:rRNA from 1 species